rnacentral:rRNA from 1 species
UACGUAGGUGGCAAGCGUUGUCCGGAUUUACUGGGCGUAAAGAGCGCGCAGGCGGUCGAUCAAGUCGCGUGUGAAAGCCCCCGGCUCAACUGGGGAGGGUCACGCGAUACUGAUCGACUCGAAGGCAGGAGAGGGUAGUGGAAUUCCCGGUGUAGUGGUGAGAUGCGUAGAGAUCGGCAGGAACACCCAGGGGGAAACCAGUGGACUGGGCAGGAGCUGACGCUCAGGUGCGAAAGCGUGGGGAGCGAACCGG